GAUGAAGAACGUAGCGAAAUGCGAUAAGUAAUGUGAAUUGCAGAAUUCAGUGAAUCAUCGAAUCUUUGAACGCACAUUGCGCCCGCCAGUAUUCUGGCGGGCAUGCCUGUCUGAGCGUCAUUUCAACCCUCAUGCCCCUAGGGCGUGGUGUUGGGGAUCGGCCAAAGCCCGCGAGGGACGGCCGGCCCCUAAAUCUAGUGGCGGACCCGUCGUGGCCUCCUCUGAAGUAGUGAUAUUCCGCAUCGGAGAGCGAUGAGCCCCUGCCGUUAAACCCCCAACUUUCCAAGGUUGACCUCAGAUCAGGUAGGAAUACCCGCUGAACUUAAGCAUAUCAAUAAGCGGAGGA
rnacentral:misc_RNA from 1 species